UACGAAGGGGGCUAGCGUUGCUCGGAAUCACUGGGCGUAAAGCGCACGUAGGCGGAUUGCUAAGUCAGGGGUGAAAUCCUGGAGCUCAACUCCAGAACUGCCUUUGAUACUGGCGACCUUGAGUCCGGGAGAGGUGAGUGGAACUGCGAGUGUAGAGGUGAAAUUCGUAGAUAUUCGCAAGAACACCAGUGGCGAAGGCGGCUCACUGGCCCGGUACUGACGCUGAGGCACGAAAGCUAGGGUAGCGAACGGG
rnacentral:rRNA from 1 species